rnacentral:rRNA from 1 species
CGUCUAUAUACGUAUAGCAUAUCAAUAAGCGGAGGAAAAGAAACUAACAAGGAUUCCCUUAGUAACGGCGAGUGAAGCGGGAAGAGCUCAAAUUUGAAAUCUUCAAGGUUCUACCUUGACGAAUUGUAGUUUAAAGAAGUGUUUUCUGUUAGAGGAGUAGCAAGAGUUCCUUGGAAUGGGACAUCAUAGAGGGUGAGAAUCCCGUAUUUGGUUAUUCUUUCUAGCUUUGUGAUACACUUUCAAAGAGUCGGAUUGUUUGGGAAUGCAGUCCAAAAUGGGUGGUAAAUUUCAUCUAAAGCUAAAUAUUGGCGAGAGACCGAUAGCGAACAAGUACCGUGAGGGAAAGAUGAAAAGAACUUUGAAAAGAGAGUUAAACAGUACGUGAAAUUGUCAAAAGGGAAGCGUUUGACACCAGUGUUGUUUUUCUCGAAAAUCAAUUAAAAAGUGGCUUGAUUUUGUGUUGUAUUGACCUUAAUCAGCUUUCUUCACUCUUUUUCCUAGUCCUGUGCUUAAUGCACUUUUCGGUUAACAAGUCAACAUCAAUUUCUUUUGUUGUAAAAGGGUAUUUGGAAGGUGGCUUUCUUUUCGGAGAAAGUGUUUAUAGCCUUAUGACCUUCUAGCAAUCGGAGAGAUUGAGGUCUGCAGCGUAGAUCCUUCGGGGCUAGAUACACUUGUGCUAAGUUAUAGCUUUUCAUAGACAACUUGUUGACUAUGUUUAGUCAUGUAGCUUACCCGCUUGUGCUAUUUUACCUACGCUUAGGAUGUUGAGUCAUCACACAUCUCU